rnacentral:tRNA from 1 species
GGAGAGUUCGCAUAGUGGUCUAGUGCGCACGCUUGGAAAGCGUGUAUACCGCAAGGUAUCAAGGGUUCAAAUCCCUUACUCUCCGCCA